UACGGAGGAUCCAAGCGUUAUCCGGAUUUAUUGGGUUUAAAGGGUGCGUAGGCGGGGAAUUAAGUCAGUGGUGAAAGUUUGCAGCUCAACUGUAAAAUUGCCAUUGAAACUGAUUUUCUUGAGUGUAAAUGAGGUAGGCGGAAUGUGUUGUGUAGCGGUGAAAUGCUUAGAUAUAACACAGAACACCGAUUGCGAAGGCAGCUUACUGGGAUACAACUGACGCUGAUGACACGAAAGGCGUGGGGAUCAAACAGG
rnacentral:rRNA from 1 species